GCGCUGCCGCCUAUCUGAAGCCUGGUUGCCAGGAAGCGCCGGUUACCAUGGUUGCCGUGUAAGCUCCGGUUUCCAGGAAGUGACGACAGAUGCGGUUCAGACGCGCUGGCGUCACCACAGCCCGGGGAGUACAGGACGGAUACAGUUCCCACCCCCUCCUCCGGCGUGUGUCCCGUUCGCGGGUUAUCUUUUGCAUAUAAGUGAUCGAAGAACUUUAAAAACCGUGGAGCACUGAGUGCAGAAGACCUUGCCAUAACAUUACUAAGCUCUUGGACUCUGGAUAAUAAAGACUGAAGAUUCUAAUUACUAGCGGCUAUAACCAGCACUGUAGUUGGAAAGGUGGGCUAUGUGAAGGCCUAUACAUCAGCAGAAGCAGUAUUUUCCUGUAGGUGUAUGUUGGUGUGCGUAUUCACCUUUGUCCUGUGAAGACUCAUCAAAUGUAUGUUUCCACAUGUAAUCAAAUCACCUUAUGUGGACAACUUUCCACUGUCAGUACUUCAGCCCACUCCCUGGCCUGUCUCACCUGU